AUUGGGGUGGCAGAACCAAGUUAUGCAAGGGCCCUAAGAUCCCGAUACAGAGGUUCAAGUCCUCUCCUUAAUA
rnacentral:tRNA from 1 species